CCUACGGGUGGCAGCAGUGAGGAAUAUUGGUCAAUGGGCGAGAUCCUGAACCAGCCAAGCCGCGUGCGGGAAGACGGCCCUACGGGUCGUAAACCUCUUUUGUCGGAGAAUAAAACCCGCGACUUGUCCCGGUCUGCAGGUAUCCGACGAAUAAGCACCGGCUAACUCCGUGCCAGCAGCCGCGGUAAUACGGAGGAUCCGAGCGUUAUCCGGAUUUAUUGGGGUUAAAGGGUGCGUAGGCGGGCCGUUAAGUCAGCGGUAAAAUCGCGGGGCUCAACCCCGCCGCGCCGUUGAAACUGGCAGCCUUGAGUUGGCGAGAGGUACGCGGAAUGCGUGGUGUAGCGGUGAAAUGCAUAGAUAUCGCGAAGAACCCCGAUUGCGAAGGCAGCGUGCCGGCGCCACACUGACGCUGAGGCACGUAGGCGUGGGGAUCAAACAGGAUUAGAUACCCGGGUAGUC
rnacentral:rRNA from 1 species